UCGACCUCGAAACACGAAGCAAUCAAGUGAACUUACUCAUCGGCUCAUCCCCAACCAAGGCGUCACACUGCAUCUUCAUCUCCCUGCUUGUAACUCCUUCUAGUCCCCUAUUCCCCCUCAUGCCGUCCCUAUCCUGCUUUGCCGCCGCUUAGUGGUCGAGCGAUGGCCGCCCUUCCUUGCCGUCGGCUAGGGCUGUUCGCUAGCCCGUGGGAAGAGGCCGCUCGCUGCCAUCACUCGCCAGAAGGGACGCCGCCUCACCAGCCAGUGAACCUGCGGGUCUGCACGAGAAGAAGGGUGCUCCUCUAGCGACCAUGGCUGACAGAGGUGGAAGAUAGCCAAGUUUAACUCGAGUGGAGAACCAGAGCAACGCUAGUUCGACGGAAGCGAACAGAGGUUAGAGGUCAGCUACGAAUAUGUCACCCAAUACCGCUGAAGCUCUUAUAUGCAUGCAAGCAUGGAGUCCUGCUGAUUUGCUUGAUAAUGUCACUUCCGAUCAAUUUGCGAUUCAGUUUGUUCUUGAAGAUGAAGGAGAAGUUAUGGUAACAUUACAGUGCUGCCAUUUACAACUUAUCAUAUACAGAUGAUGUUAUUGAGUACAUUCUUAAACUU